CUGGGUUAUGGCAUGGUACGGAUCACGACAAUUAAUUGAAGGAUCUUUAGCAAGGAGCAAAUACAACAUAGGAAGAUGAUAACCAGUAUCAUCCCUAGCUCUUCCCUCGAAACAUCCCUUUCUUUUCAAAUUGAGCAUGGCACUAUUAUCAAGAAACCGAAACUGAGCAGCUGGAUCCAGACAGUUGUUGGAAAGUUCCACAUAAGUUAAGUUUCCCCAAGGCUCGUCCGUCUGUAGCAUUCCUGCGACACUAAUACACAUCCCUGUCUGCACAUGUUUCACAAAGAAACCAGCAGCGCCUGAAACAAAACACGAAAAUAAAAAGAAAUAACGAAG